UAGCACUUUACGUGUUUCGGUACCUCAUUUCUAUUUUUGGCCGCUCUAUGGGAGCAGAGAAGAAUGCUGGUGUUACAAAAUACUGACAUAGUUAUGGGUGUGACUGGCAUCGUAAUUCUGUUGAUCCAGCUCUACCUUUUUUCUAUGAAAAAACAGAAUAAAAAUUUUUUCAAGGAUGGCAUCAUUUCGUUUUUACUAGGAACCGUUGGAUGGCUUGUCAUAUUGGCUAUUUUCAGCAUAUCUAGCAUUUACAGACACUUUGUCUCUGCAAUUAUAUGGAGCAGUUACAUGUCAAGUCUGACUGUUGUAUCUCCAUCAUGCAUAGUGGGGUUCAACUUGUUACAAUGGAGAAGACUUUUCGCAAAGUUUUCGAUGAGAUCUCCAGAGGAAGAAUUGGUCGUCAUCUUGACGAUGAGUGCCAUAAUUGGUGCCUGGGCUGGAGGAAUACCGGGAUUUUUGGAAGGGGCUACAUGGUGGUCGGAAUGGCCGUUUUCGACCUUCUGUGGAUCGCUUGCAUUAUCCAGCUUAUCUAUAAUUGCUAAAUUGGUGUCCUCUGUUACACGCGCACAAUCUAAAACUGGUUAAAAUAAUGAAUACAUAGAAUGUAUGGGGCCAUCAGAGUGAGCCCUUGUCUCACGGCUAUGCUUUCGAUCGGAAAGUAUGUUUGCGGCGUUUUUAACCAACAACAGAAUUUCGGUUUUUUAGCAGUCUCGAGCAAGAAAGAGGAAUAUUUGAAAAGGCGACGGCAAGAGAGGGAAAAAAACUCUUUUUUCGGAUUAGGUUUUACAAGAUUUGAUAGGUGUGCAGCUUUUGGCUCCGACAUAUCUAUAUGCAGGACUAGUACGUUUGCAUGAGCCUAGACAAACAUCCAGCACAAGAAAAAAAAAAGCCUUUACCUACCCGUUGAAGUUCUGUACAUUGGAUUCACCAUGAUGCGUUUUUUUUUGCGUCCUCGGAGUUGCGAAGUCUGGAAGACUCUGGAGCGGACACC